GUGUAAAUAAACUUCAUAAAUAGAUAGAUGUGAACAUAAAAUUGGUCAAACAAAAAUUAAAAUAACAUAUCAAUAAAUACACAAAUUUUUGAGACAGCAUCAAUUUAAUCUUAUUUCUUUGGAUAUUAUGGGGUGAGGGUGGGGAUGGGAUUAAAAAAAAAGUUCCCUUCAUACAAUUUUGAAAUCAAGGAGAUGCCUUACUACUACUGAUGUCGGAUUUAUAUUUUUAAAACAAUAUUUGCAAUUGAUUUGGAAAUAAUUCAAUAAAUUUAUUCACAUUAACAUACAUUUACUUCUACAUUAAUUCAUAAAAUAAUCUCACAAAACAUAAAGUGCAAUGGCCCUUUAGGGUCUGAUUAAAUUUAUUUUUCAGUCUCAACCCAUCUGCUCUAUCAAAUUUUAUUAUGAUUUUGUCAUUUUAAGAAAUUGUAUGGUCUUUUAAAUUUGAAAAAAAUAUUCAUGUUUUAAAAAGAAAUGUGACAUUUCCUAUCAAAUGUUUCAAUCUGCACCAAUAUAUCAAUCAACUAAAUACAAAUGACAAUAUAAGAGUUUUAAAAUGACCUUAUUUAAUUCAUUCUUGGUUCCUAAUUAAAAUUGUGAUUUGAACAGAUAUACAUGAGUUUAUCAUACACAUAAACAAAUAAAUGAAUGUGAAAACUGAAGUUAACACAUUGGUAUAAAUUAUCUCAGAUCUAUGUUUAACCGGAUAACAGCUUUAUAAUAACCUUCAACAGUUAAGAAUGUCUAAAUGAAAAAAACAAACUUUUUAAGUUUUAUUUCGUUUUUUUGCAAGUCAUAU
rnacentral:lncRNA from 1 species